GCGCCCGAGGCUUGUCCAAGGGCAUUUCCGCUAGAGCGUCACC
rnacentral:rRNA from 1 species